UACCAGACUCCUACGGGAGGCAGCAGUGGGGAAUAUUGCACAAUGGGGGAAACCCUGAUGCAGCGACGCCGCGUGAGUGAAGAAGUAUUUCGGUAUGUAAAGCUCUAUCAGCAGGGAAGAGAAUGACGGUACCUGAGUAAGAAGCCCCGGCUAACUACGUGCCAGCAGCCGCGGUAAUACGUAGGGGGCAAGCGUUAUCCGGAUUUACUGGGUGUAAAGGGAGCGUAGACGGCGAAGAAAGUCUGAAGUGAAAGCCCGCGGCUCAACCGCGGAACUGCUUUGGAAACUGUUUUGCUGGAGUGCCGGAGAGGUAAGCGGAAUUCCUAGUGUAGCGGUGAAAUGCGUAGAUAUUAGGAGGAACACCAGUGGCGAAGGCGGCUUACUGGACGGUAACUGACGUUGAGGCUCGAAAGCGUGGGGAGCAAACAGGAUUAGAUACCCGCGUAAA
rnacentral:rRNA from 1 species